rnacentral:lncRNA from 1 species
UCACAAGCCUCAACUGCUGCGAUAACUUCAAGUUAACUCUAACUUGAACACUCUAGGUACCUAAUACAAUUGCUUCUAUGAAAGCUGAAAGGUACGAUGUAAAAUCACCUGCUACAAUUGAACUUGAAUAAAAGAUAGACACUUGGAACUGGUUCUUUUAUCUCGUUCAAGUAGCUUCAGGAUUGCACACUUGAAUCACACAUAAAUUGCUUGCAAAAUCUCCUUGCUCUUUUGCUCUCAAUUUAAGUUUAACUUCUGCUUAUGUGCAUUACCUGUAAAAGAGAACAACACUGAUAUUUAAUGGGUUAGUAAUUAGAGAUUGACUAGGAUUCAAAUGCUACUCUUCUAUCGUAGAAGAGUUCAAGGUGAUCUCAGACUCUAACAUUAUCUUCUUCCUAGAUUGUGUUCUUUUCAUGUGAGUCUUUCUCUCCUUAUCCAAUAUGCAACCUUUUCGAUCAGAUCAGGAGAUAUUGCUUCUUGAUAAAUUAGAUUUAUCUCCUUCACGUGCAUCUCACAUGUACAAGUUGAUCACGACUGUGCUUCACAAGAUGGACCUAGUCCAUGUCUGAGUUCUUUUGUCAGUCUUUAAAACUUCACCUGUUCUUGGGCCAACAGGAGUGCAAUUCAUGGUUUUACCACUGUAUGAUGUGAUUUUAGGCCUUGAGCAGGUCCGCAUUAUGUUUUGGAACUGGUUAGUGUGAUCGGAUGGGGCUCAGGGGGUCCUCGGGUGGAUUCUGAAUGGUCAUCGGAUUGAGUUUGACCUUAUGGAGGUACUGAGCCUGCUGUCUUUUGGUGUAACCACACCUGCGAGGUUAGCGCCACAGGUGUGGAUCCGCAGAAGCGGGCAUGAGGGUCGCAAAAGUGGCUUAGGCUGGAAAAGACUAGGAUCGUAGAAGCGGCCGAGUUCCGCAGAACCAGGACCACACCUGCGCGUGGGGAGCAGCAGAAGCGGAUGGCGAUUGCAAAUACGGAAUCUAGGGGUCUGGUGGAGGACCGCAGAAGCGGUAAUUUGUCCGCACCUGCGAAACCGCAUAAGCGGUCAAGUGACUGCAGGUGCGAAGAAUCGUUGGGCAGUGUGUUUAUUUAAAAGACAGGAUUUGGCCUAUUUUCUUUCAUUUUCUCUUGGUUUGGGCGAUUCUUGGAGAGUUUCAAGAGGGGGUUUUCAUCAUCAAUGGCAAGGUAAGAUAUCCCCACCUAUUAUGAGUUAAAUACAUUGAUUAUGUUUAGAUUUUAACAUGAAAAUUAGUGAAAAUUUGGAGUUUUGAAUUAAAACCUAGAAAUUGGUAUUCUUAGAUUUUGACCACGAAAUUGGACAUGAAAUUGGGAAUAAAUUAUAUAUUUGAGUUCGUAAGGUUAUGGGUAAUGUUUAUCUUUAAAAAAUUUCGAAAUCCGGGCACUUGGGCCUGAGGGUGAUUUUAUCGACUUUCCGAGCGGAGUUGGGAAUUUGUUGUAAAUUGAAUUGUUAUGAGUAUUAGAGUAUAUUCUCUUUGGUUUGCACAUUAUUUGGCUAGUUUUGGAGCGUUCGCCAUCGGUUUGAGGUGUUAGAGUUGUGUUGGAGCCGGUUAUAGAACUUCGGAGCGAGGUAAGUCUCCUUUCUAACCUUGUAAGAGGAAAUUAACCCCAUAUGUGAACUAAAUUAUUAAUGUGUUUCUAUUUGUGGGGGCUACGUACGCACGAGGUGACGAGAGUCCGUACGUAGCUACUAGCUAUACCUAUGUCCGGGUAGUUUUAAGCUUACAUCAUGCCUUGUUGAUAUUAUUGUUGAUUUAUGUGAAUUGUUUGCCUUGAGAAGAAGCGAGAUUUAGUUAGAUUUUUAAAUGUUUUGAAAGGAGUUAAUCUUAAGGAAAAUUGGGAACUUAAAAGUUUUUAUUUGAACUUUGUAUUUUGAAAAGAAUUGAAGAAUACUAUAAUAACUUAAGAAAUCUAUGUGUAACCGCGUCACACGUAUGAUUCGCGAACGAGGUAAUUCUUUAAAUUUGUGUUUGACUGCGUUGCAUGUAUGAUUCGCGAGCAGGGUAAAUAGAUGCAUCUAUGGUUCGCGAAGUUCGACCCUCGGCAAUACACAGCUUAUAUAUAUAUAUAUUGGAUCGGAUCGGACGUCCUCGAUGGUAUUUGUAUAUGAAAAUAGAACUGAAAGUCCUUUUUUGUAAUUGAUAUAAGUUCAUUGUUUGUGUGAUCCCAUGUUUUAAAGGAAGGAUGUAAUUUAAGCUCUUAAUUAUGGGGAAGACUUGUUCAGUUAUUUCUUGUUCUGAGUUUAUUGUUGUAUAUCAUGCCUAAUUAGAAUUUCAUAUUAUUAUAUUAUUGGACUGCUAGUAAAUAUCGGGGUCGACCUCUCGUCACUACUUCUUCGAAGUUAAACAAGAUAUUUACGGGGUACGCAUUAUUUUCGUACUUAUACUACACUUGUUGUACAGGCACAUGUGUGUUCAGUGGCCUUGUGGGCGCAGCGGCGUGGGUGAUACGGGUACUUAGGUGAGCUGCAUGUUAUGAGACUAUCCGCAGCCAGCGGAGUCUCCCUCAGAGUACUUGUAUUUUCUUUUUGUCCAAAUUUGCAUUCCGGACAGUUAUUUAUUAUAUUUUAAAUCCUAGUAAUUGCUCAUGCACUUGUAACACCGAAUUCUGGGAUGAUUAUAAAAUAUUCAGUAUUGAAUUUGAAAAUAUUUUUAUUUCUCCGUAAAACUCAUCUGUUGCUAGUUAAAUUGAAGGAAAUUUAUGAUUUCAAAAAUAUUAAAAUAAGGAGUUAAUUAACUAUUUAAUGUUGGCGUGUCUGACAAUGGUGUCAGGCGCCAUCACGACCUUUAAUGGAUUUUGGAUCGUGAUAAAAUUUGAUUAUGUAGUAGCCUUCCCCGUGCAUGUACAGAUCUGGUUCUGUAAUUGCAUUCCAAUUAAGUUCUAUAUACCUUUUCAUAGCAUUAUACCCCAUGUCCCCAAUUACAUAUGCAAUUAAAGCCCCUUUCUAUUUCUCCGUUUCUCUAUCUACUUUAUCCUUGUCCAAUUUGACUAUCAUUUACCCAUUCACAACCUGUGGUGGGAUAUAGGUUAGAGCAAUACCAUUUUCAGCAGCCCUAUUUUUAGCAAAUAGGUUAACCCACGUCUGAGUGCCUUCUUUCUCUGUCUUCUUGUUCUCCUCCCCUUCUGUAGUUACUGUUCCAUUGCUCUGCUUCACUGGUGGAGUUGCAAUUUCCUUUGCUUUCUCUACUUCCAGAUCUGCUCGUUCCUCUGAUGUUGUUGGGCUCAUUUGAAGCUUUUUCACCGCUCCAAUUGAUGAUUCUCCUUGGCUCAAACAGAGAAUUUUGUUUCCACCAUUCUUUCUUUCACCUCCGAUCCUCACCGGAGAUAAAUAAAAUUUCUAGCGACACUUCAAAGUAAUGGAGGGAUAUCUAAUAUCAAAAAGGAAGGUGGAAUGAAAAAUAAUAAUAAUAAUAAUAAUGAGAAAAAAAAAAGGAAAGAGUAUCGGAGGUGAAAGAAAGAAAGAAAGAAAAGGGAGAAAUGUAAAAUUGAAAAAGAAGCAAUAGGAAGGAUUAGUCGGUGAAGUGAUUAAUGAACUGAAGAAGGAGGGCUAGGGAGAAGAAUAAAAUGAAAAAAUAAAUAAAUAAAACAAAUGACAAUAAAAAGGAAUUUGUAUACUUUAAAAAAG